AAGUAGAAAGGUCUCUGGAUUUAGAGUUGAAUGACGCAGAUUCAAUGUCAAUUGCUACAUAUCAUUUGUAUUUAAGUUAGGAGAGAAUAUAAUAGCAAACCAUGAAACCAAAGAGUAACACUGUGGCUUCAACCAGCAAGUAGUUCCUAACAAUUUAUGUUUCAUUUUUACCCUCCAGGAACAGUGGGGACCAGAUGGAGCAAAACAUCAGACUCCUGGAAGAUAAGGACAAUAUCAGUUUAACUCUGGAAAGAAAAGUAAUAAAUCAACAUGUACACACUGCGGGAGAAGAAAGCUGGGAAUAAUAUGACAUUCACUCUAGAUUUAAGAAGAGCAGAUUUCAAAGGAUUCAAAGAAAAGAUACAAAGGAUCCUAUGGACUAAAAUUCCACAAUCCAAAUCAGUCUGGGAGGAUUAGCAAGCUUCUACAGUGGCAUUCUGAAGACCCACAUAAAGACACAUAAAUCAUUCUGAUUCUCCCACCCAGGAUGGAAAUGAAUGUACCCUGGUAGAUUUGGCCAAUCUCAUCCAUCAACAAUGUUCUUCAAAGAUUGAACAACUUAUAAACUUUUGGAAAAAACCUUUUCUUAUUUUAACAAUUGAUCAUUAAUAUAGGAGAGAAAUAAUUGUCUUCUCUCAAUUGUUGUUGCUCUAAUUUCUUUUUAUCCCAGCAUUUCGUAUAAUUU